GAUGAACGCUGGCGGCGUGCCUAAUACAUGCAAGUCGAGCGAACAGACGAGGAGCUUGCUCCUCUGACGUUAGCGGCGGACGGGUGAGUAACACGUGGAUAACCUACCUAUAAGACUGGGAUAACUUCGGGAAACCGGAGCUAAUACCGGAUAAUAUAUUGAACCGCAUGGUUCAAUAGUGAAAGACGGUUUUGCUGUCACUUAUAGAUGGAUCCGCGCCGCAUUAGCUAGUUGGUAAGGUAACGGCUUACCAAGGCGACGAUGCGUAGCCGACCUGAGAGGGUGAUCGGCAACACUAGAACGGAGACACGGUCCAGACUCCUACGGGAGGCAGCAGUAGGGAAUCUUCCGCAAUGGGCGAAAGCCUGACGGAGCAACGCCGCGUGAGUGAUGAAGGUCUUCGGAUCGUAAAACUCUGUUAUUAGGGAAGAACAAAUGUGUAAGUAACUAUGCACGUCUUGACGGUACCUAAUCAGAAAGCCACGGCUAACUACGUG
rnacentral:rRNA from 1 species